rnacentral:rRNA from 1 species
CCUACGGGAGGCAGCAGUGAGGAUUAUUGGACAAUGGGCGAAAGCCUGAUCCAGCCAUGCCGCGUGAGUGAUGAAGGCCCUAGGGUUGUAAAGCUCUUUCAGCGGGGAAGAUGAUGACGGUACCCGCAGAAGAAGCCCCGGCCAACUCCGUGCCAGCAGCCGCGGUAAUACGGAGGGGGCUAGCGUUGUUCGGAAUUACUGGGCGUAAAGCGCGCGUAGGCGGUUGGCCAAGUCAGGCGUGAAAGCCCCGGGCUCAACUCGGGAAUUGCAUUCCAAACUGGUUCACUAGAGUGCGGCAGAGGGAGGUGGAAUUCCAGGUGUAGCGGUGAAAUGCGUAGAUAUCUGGAGGAACACCGGUGGCGAAGGCGGCCUCCUGGGCUGACACUGACGCUGAGGCACGAAAGCGUGGGGAGCAAACAGGAUUAGAUACCCUGGUAGUCCACGCCGUAAACGAUGAGAACUAGCCGUUGGGUCCGUUGGGAUUUAGUGGCGCAGUUAACGCGAUAAGUUCUCCGCCUGGGGAGUACGGCCGCAAGGUUAAAACUCAAAUGAAUUGACGG